CCUCUGCCUGUUGAUUGCAAAAUUUUAUCCAUCCCCUUUGGUCCUAAUGUUGUCUUGACCAAGUCAGCAAUCGCCAUUGCACCAACAAAUGAUGCCAUUCUAGCACGCUCUCCCUUUUCUUCGCUAGCUUCAUCUUUAAGAAUUUUAUCAACCGCCAUUAGAGAGUGUAAAUAAAGACAGCUUGACUAUAGACGCUCAAAAUUAGAAUCUGAAGUGAGAUUGGAG
rnacentral:misc_RNA from 1 species